UGGGCAGUAUCUAUCAGAACUGCACCUGAGCAUUGUCAUACCAUGUAAUAACCAACCAAAUAUCUGCCUUGAUCCAAAGGACUGGGACAGAGGG
rfam:Bacillus sp. LL01 scaffold1.1, whole genome shotgun sequence.